GCGAAUAAUAUCUACCUGAUUUACUCACACGCGCAAGCAAACAAAACUAAAUGGUUAAAUUUACACAACAGAGGUAGUCCGAAGAUUGUUUGUAAACUCUGGUAUAAAACUCUGAGUUUGUUUUGAACUUUGUUUCACAAAUAUUGUUGUACGUGCACUUCGUUUCAUAUGGGACAGUCAAUUCAAUCACGUGCCAAUCCGUUUUAUAGCGAAUCGU